rnacentral:lncRNA from 1 species
UGGGAACCUAAUAUAUGUUCCGCGUUUCCAGCGGCGCUUGUUUACGGCGGACUGACCAGCUAGCCGAGGACACGAACCUCCAACAAAGGCAAUGGCAACAGUUCUCUAUAGAGGAACAUAAACCAGCAGCUGAAACCUCCUCGAGCCUGGGCUGCUCCAUCAGGCAGAUGGUGAUGAACCAGAUGGACUCAAUAGAUAGCGAUCCAGCUGCUGAACAAGACAGUGGAAAUCUUCGGAAACGGCACAGAGAACAACGCAUAGCUGGAACUGUGCAGAAGCUUCAAGAGAUGAAACAGAGGAUGGUAGAGGCGGAGAAGAAGCAGAACCAGUGGCUCUACUGGAGGACCAUCCUCCUUGGCAUGGGUGCCGGGGCAGCCCUCAUUGCUGGACUCACAUUCACAUUCUGGACCUUCCUCUCACAUUGACAGACUACAAUCAUUUUCACAAUCAGUAUUAUUAUUACUGACGUUUAUGCUAUAUAUAUUUCCAAAGGCAAUGAAAGUUAUUUGUCUGCUAACAUUAAUAAUAAAUUAGGUAUUCAAACCCCUGUACGUUUCA